UACGUAGGGUGCAAGCGUUUAAUCGGAAUUACUGGGCGUAAAGCGUGCGCAGGCGGUUUUGUAAGUCUGUCGUGAAGUCCCCGGGCUCAACCUGGGAAUUGCGAUGGAGACUGCAAGGCUAGAAUCUGGCAGAGGGGGGGUAGAAUUCCACGUGUAGCAGUGAAAUGCGUAGAGAUGUGGAGGAACACCGAUGGCGAAGGCAGCAUACUGGCCGGCAUCUGACGCUGAGGCGCGAAAGCGUGGGGAGCAAACAGG
rnacentral:rRNA from 1 species